UACGUAGGGUGCAAGCGUUACUCGGAAUUAUUGGGCGUAAAGCGCAUGUAGGUGGCUUUGUAAGUCUGAUGUGAAAUCCCUGGACUCAAUUCAGGAACUGCAUUGGAUACUGCGAGGCUAGAGUAUGGGAGAGGUAGGCGGAAUUCCUGGUGUAGAGGUGAAAUUCGUAGAUAUCAGGAGGAACAACAGAGGCGAAGGCGGCUUACUGGACCAUAACUGACACUGAGAUGCGACAGUGUGGGUAGCAAACAGG
rnacentral:rRNA from 1 species